rnacentral:lncRNA from 1 species
GCUGGAGUGCAGUGGCGUGAUCUCGGCUCGCUACAACCUCCACCUUCCAGCCGCCUGCCUUGGCCUCCCAAAGUGCCGAGAUUGCAGCCUCUGCCCGGCCGCCACCCCGUCUGGGAAGUGAGGAGCGUCUCUGCCUGGCCGCCAUCACAUCUAGGAAGUGAGGAGCCUCUCUGCCCGGCCGCCAUCCCAUCUGGGAAGUGAGGAGCGCCUCUUCCGGCCGCCAUCACAUCUAGGAAGUGAGGAGCGUCUCUGCCCGGCCGCCCAUCGUCUGGGAUGUGGGGAGCGCCUCUGCCCCGCCGCCCCGUCUGGGAUGUGAGGAGCGCCCCUGCCCGGCUGCCACCCCGUCUGGGAGCCAGCUACUUUUCAUGAGGAUACUCAAGCAUUCCUAUGGAGAGAUCCACAUGGUGAGAAACUGAAGCCUCCUACCAAGAGCCAGCACCAACUUGCCAGCUAUGUGAAUGAGCCAUCUUAGAAGUGGGUUCUCUAGCCCUAGUCAGGCCUUCAUAUGACUGCAGCCAGGGCUGAUAUUUUGACUACAACCUCAUGAGAGACUGAGCCACAACAACCUAGCUAAGAAGCUCCUGAAUUCCCUACCAACAGAAACUAUGUGAGAUAAUGUUUGUUGUUUUAACUAAGUUUUCAAGUGGUAAUUUGUUAUACAGAAUAUGUAACUAAUAAAGCAUGGCUCCUUUAGGUCUAAAUGUUGUCUUUUGCUUACAUGAUACCCCAGAAGCACAGGAAUCCUGCUGUUUCAUGAAGCACUUGAGUAUGGAAAUUCUUGUGAGGUUGCCUCUGUCCCUGUUUGCCCCAACACACCAUGUAGUUAUUCCUUCACUGGACUUGCACCUUUCUACCAGUCUCUGCUCAGGAAGCAAAGCCUAAGUUUCCUCUUUUCCUAGAAAUACAGACCUAUUUGUAGACCUCCUGUUCUUCAUCUUCAGCCUGCAGAUAUUUUGUUUUUAUCUUGGGGAAAUUCUCCUCAUUUUUGGCCAUGAUACUUUGUACUUGAAUCUUCUCAACCUCUCCAGGACUUUCGGAAAUAAAAGGCAGAAAACUUACAAGCUUGUCUUCUUUCUACCAUGUUGUAAUGCCUCCCCUGAGACAGUGAACAAAAGGCUAGCUCUUUGAAUUUUGUGAGAUGUAGAAAGAAAGGGGAAAAUGAAGGGAGAAAAAAUGUGAAUAUCUCAAAAUACCAUCCUACCAGAAUUAUCAAUAUGUGAUGAGUGCUUACUGUGUGCCAGAUACUAUACCAAAUGCUUUACAUAUUUUUUCUCAUUAAGUACUAUUAUCAAGCUUAUUUUACAAACAAGAUGAUCAGAUUUAGAGAGAUUAAGUAAGUUGCCUGAAGUUUCACUGUUUCUAGAUGGUAAUGCUGAAAUUCUACCAGGAAUCUCUGACUCCCAGCUCCAACUUUUGACCAUUAGCAUGCAAGUUCUUUCCAUGUGGUUGGGGAGGGAAGAAGGUUGGUCUAAGGGUGCUUUCCUUUGGCUUCAUUUCUUCACAUAAAUGAGGAUGCCAAUCAUACCUAAGACUUGUCUGUCAUUAAUACAUUUCUGACAGUGGCUUCCACUUGGCAACACUUUGUAGGCGAGUGGACCUACUCUGUA